rnacentral:rRNA from 1 species
AAAUUGAAGAGUUUGAUCAUGGCUCAGAUUGAACGCUGGCGGCAGGCCUAACACAUGCAAGUCGAACGGUAACAGGAAGCAGCUUGCUGCUUUGCUGACGAGUGGCGGACGGGUGAGUAAUGUCUGGGAAACUGCCUGAUGGAGGGGGAUAACUACUGGAAACGGUGGCUAAUACCGCAUAACGUCGCAAGACCAAAGAGGGGGACCUUCGGGCCUCUUGCCAUCAGAUGUGCCCAGAUGGGAUUAGCUUGUUGGUGAGGUAACGGCUCACCAAGGCGACGAUCCCUAGCUGGUCUGAGAGGAUGACCAGCCACACUGGAACUGAGACACGGUCCAGACUCCUACGGGAGGCAGCAGUGGGGAAUAUUGCACAAUGGGCGCAAGCCUGAUGCAGCCAUGCCGCGUGUAUGAAGAAGGCCUUAGGGUUGUAAAGUACUUUCAGCGGGGAGGAAGGUGUUGCGGUUAAUAACCGCAGCAAUUGACGUUACCCGCAGAAGAAGCACCGGCUAACUCCGUGCCAGCA